CUACGGGGUGCUCCAGUGGGGAAUAUUGCACAAUGGGCGCAAGCCUGAUGCAGCCAUGCCGCGUGUAUGAAGAAGGCCUUCGGGUUGUAAAGUACUUUCAGCGGGGAGGAAGGGAGUAAAGUUAAUACCUUUGCUCAUUGACGUUACCCGCAGAAGAAGCACCGGCUAACUCCGUGCCAGCAGCCGCGGUAAUACGGAGGGUGCAAGCGUUAAUCGGAAUUACUGGGCGUAAAGCGCACGCAGGCGGUUUGUUAAGUCAGAUGUGAAAUCCCCGGGCUCAACCUGGGAACUGCAUCUGAUACUGGCAAGCUUGAGUCUCGUAGAGGAGGGUAGAAUUCCAGGUGUAGCGGUGAAAUGCGUAGAGAUCUGGAGGAAUACCGGUGGCGAGGGCGGCCCCCUGGACUAAGACUGACGCUCAGGUGCGAAAGCGUGGGGAGCAAACAGGAUUAGAUACCCUUGUAGUC
rnacentral:rRNA from 1 species